GCGCAUACGGUGGAUGCCUUGGCAGUCAGAGGCGAUGAAGGACGUAGGAGCCUGCGAUAAGCGUUGGUGAGCUGGCAAGCAAGCUUUGACCCAACGAUUUCCGAAUGGGGAAACCCAACCAACAUAAGUUGGUUAUCUUGCACUGAAUUCAUAGGUGUAAGAAGCGAACGGGGGGAACUGAAACAUCUAAGUACCCCUAGGAACAGAAAUCAACCGAGAUUCCCUUAGUAGCGGCGAGCGAACGGGGACCAGCCGAUGUGAAUAGUAGUAGUGGAACAUUCUGGGAAGGAUGGCCAUAGUGGGUGACAGCCCCGUAUCGGUAAAGGCACACAGGUCCUUGAGUAGGGCGGGACACGUGAAAUCCUGUCUGAACGUGGGGGGACCACCCUCCAAGCCUAAGUACUCCUUGGUGACCGAUAGUGAACAAGUACCGUGAGGGAAAGGUGAAAAGUACCCCGAUGAGGGGAGUGAAAUAGCGCCUGAAACCGAAUGCUUACAAUCUGUGGGAGCUCCCUUGAGGAGUGACCGCGUACCUUUUGUAUAAUGGGUCAGCGAGUUAAUUUUACGAGCAAGCUUAAGCCGUUAGGUGUAGGCGCAGCGAAAGCGAGUCUGAAUAGGGCGUCAUAGU
rnacentral:rRNA from 1 species